rnacentral:rRNA from 1 species
CGUUUGCGGCGGGCUUAACACAUGCAAGUCGAACGAGAAUCCCUUCGGGGAGGAAAGUGGCGCACGGGUGCGUAACACGUGGAUAACCAACCCAUUGGUUUGGGACAACACCGGGAAACUGGUGCUAAUACCAGAUGUGUCGCAGCUGUCUUCAGGCGGUUGCGAGAAAGGCCCGCAAGGGUCGCCAACGGACGGGUCCGCGUCCCAUCAGCUAGUUGGUGAGGUAAUGGCUCACCAAGGCAAAGACGGGUAGCUGGUCUGAGAGGAUGAUCAGCCACACUGGAACUGAGACACGGUCCAGACUCCUACGGGAGGCAGCAGUGGGGAAUAUUGCGCAAUGGGCGAAAGCCUGACGCAGCCACGCCGCGUGAGCGAUGAAGGUCUUCGGAUCGUAAAGCUCUGUGGGGGGAGAAGAAGAAAGCCGGUGAAGAGCCGGCCCUGACGGUAUCCCCUUAGCAAGCACCGGCUAACUCCGUG